AUUGAACGCUGGCGGCAUGCCUUACACAUGCAAGUCGAACGGCAGCACGGGAGCAAUCCUGGUGGCGAGUGGCGAACGGGUGAGUAAAGUAUCGGAACGUACCUUUCAGUGGGGGAUAACGUAGCGAAAGUUACGCUAAUACCGCAUAUUCUGUGAGCAGGAAAGCAGGGGAUCGCAAGACCUUGCGCUGAUUGAGCGGCCGAUAUCAGAUUAGCUAGUUGGUGAGGUAAAGGCUCACCAAGGCGACGAUCUGUAGCGGGUCUGAGAGGAUGAUCCGCCACACUGGAACUGAGACACGGUCCAGACUCCUACGGGAGGCAGCAGUGGGGAAUUUUGGACAAUGGGCGCAAGCCUGAUCCAGCCAUGCCGCGUGAGUGAAGAAGGC
rnacentral:rRNA from 1 species